UGACGCAAAUGCAUGAGACGCAAGGAACUUUAGUCAGUCACAAUGCUAACUUGAAAAGGAACAUUUACUAUUAGAAAUGACAAGGUACGAUAAGGCCCGUUUUUGGCCCCCCUACUUUCCCAUUUUUGAAACUCUGUCUUGGAAUAAAAUUGAGAAAGGAAAUGGGUAAUGUGUCAAAGCGACAACAACCCGACCAUAGAGCAGACAACAGCCGAAGGCCACCAAUGGGUCUUCAAUAUAGCGAGAAACUCCCGCACCCGUAGGCGUCCUUCAGCUGGCCCUGAAAAAAUAUGUUCACUAGUACAGUGAUAAUUGACGUCAUACUAAACUCCGAUUUAUACACAAGAAACUAAAAUUAAAAAUCA
rnacentral:lncRNA from 1 species